CCCAGACUCCUACGGGAGGCAGCAGUGGGGAAUAUUGGGCAAUGGGCGCAAGCCUGACCCAGCAAUGCCGCGUGAAGGAAGAAGGCUUUCGGGUUGUAAACUUCUUUGGCAGGGGAAGAGCAGAAGACGGUACCCUGAAAACAAGCCACGGCUAACUACGUGCCAGCAGCCGCGGUAAUACGUAGGUGGCAAGCGUUGUCCGGAUUUACUGGGUGUAAAGGGCGCGUAGCCGGGUUGACAAGUCAGAUGUGAAAUCCUGCGGCUUAACCGCAGAACUGCAUUUGAAACUGUUGAUCUUGAGUACUGGAGAGGCAGACGGAAUUCCUAGUGUAGCGGUGAAAUGCGUAGAUAUAAGGAAGAACACCAGUGGCGAAGGCGGAUGACUGGACGGCAACUGACGGUGAGGCGCGAAAGCGUGGGGAGCAAACAGGAUUAGAUACCCCGGUAC
rnacentral:rRNA from 1 species